rnacentral:rRNA from 1 species
UGGGGAAUAUUGCACAAUGGGCGGAAGCCUGAUGCAGCGACGCCGCGUGGGGGAUGAAGGCCUUCGGGUUGUAAACUUCUUUCGACAGGGACGAAGCUUUUGUGACGGUACCUGUAUAAGAAGCACCGGCUAACUACGUGCCAGCAGCCGCGGUAAUACGUAGGGUGCGAGCGUUGUCCGGAAUUACUGGGCGUAAAGAGCUCGUAGGUGGUUUGUCGCGUCGUCUGUGAAAUUCCGGGGCUUAACUCCGGGCGUGCAGGCGAUACGGGCUGACUUGAGUGCUGUAGGGGAGACUGGAAUUCCUGGUGUAGCGGUGAAAUGCGCAGAUAUCAGGAGGAACACCGAUGGCGAAGGCAGGUCUCUGGGCAGUAACUGACGCUGAGGAGCGAAAGCAUGGGUAGCGAACAGGAUUAGAUACCCUGGUAGUCCAUGCCGUAAACGGUGGGCGCUAGGUGUAGGGGGCUUCCACGUCUUCUGUGCCGUAGCUAACGCGUUAAGCGCCCCGCCUGGGGAGUACGGCCGCAAGGCUA